AACUAGAGCCCCUGGAAGUUGGAGGCAAUAUUUUGGGUAGAAUUCAAUUUUCCUGACUGUAUACAGUGCUGCAUUUACUGACCCAUUUGGUCUAUGUAGAUUUAUACUAUUUUAUCACUUAUUCUAAGGAAAGCUGCCUCUCCCAAAGAGAAUAAUUUCAAUUUCUGCUGCAUCAAUAAGGUUUUGUUUUGCAAGACGUAGAAAACCAAUUCAAAUGGGUUUAAACAAUACGGAGGAUUUGCUGGCUGAUGAAACUGGGAAUUCUGGAUGGAGAAUGGGCUACUGCAGGCUUGACUCAGUUGCUCGAGAAGUGUUACCAAAGACCCAGCUCCUCUGCCUGCCACUUGGCCAUUGUUUAUACUCAUGUGGAACACCCCUUAAGGUUCUUUUUGGCUUGGGGUGGUAGAGUGGAGAAAUGAAAUCCUUCUCAAAUUUCUGCUGGCCUUGGGGAUUAAAGAAGCAGAGCAUAUGUUGUUGUUAGCUGCCAUCAAGUUGGUCCCCAACUAGUGGUGACUCCAUGCACAAUGGAAAGAAAUGCUGCCUGUUCCUGCAUCACCUCCAUGAUGGGUUGUGGAUCAGAACGUUGUGAUCCAUAGUGUUUUCCUUGUUAAUUUUCAGAAGUAGAUCACCAGACCUUUCUUCCUCCACUAAAACCCGUUCAGCAUCAUAACAACAUGGAAGACUCCACCGACAGAUGGGUGGUGGCUGUGCAUGAGACUCAUUGGCCAAGGAUUGAACUCGGGUCUCCUGCAUGGAAGGCAAAAUCUUAUCACUGAACCACCACUGCCCCACAGAGCAUAGUUAAGAAUGACUAACAUGUGUCCUGGUUUGGGGCAUGGCAAACACAGUGAAAUUAGGCAAGUGAAUUGAAUAUUUGGUGUACAAGGGCCUAGUAGGUUUUCCUAACUGGAGUCUAAAGAGAAGAUGGAAAGUAAGUGGUAGAAUGUAAGUGUGGUUGGACAGGUGGAGGCCUCUGGGUGGCCCCUGACAAAUAACCCAAAGUGUGACAGUUUGAACUAGCCCAACAGCACUGUGGAAGGAAGACCUGGUGAUUUGCUUCUAUAAAAGAUUACAGCCAAGAAAAUCCUAGGAAGCAGUUCUACUCUGUAACACACAGGGUUGCCAUGAGUCAAAACCGACUCUAAGUCAACUGGUUUGGUCUCAGGUUUUGGGACAGGUAAAACCAAAAAAAAAAAAAAAACACUCUGCUGUCGAGUCGACUUUGACUCAUAGCAACCCUACCGGACAGAGUAGAACUGCCCCGUAGGGUUUCCGAGGAGUACCUGGUGAAUUCAAACUGCCUACCUUUUGGAUAGCAGUCGUAGCUCUUAACCACUGUGCCACCAGGGUUUCUAUUCGGACAGGUAGGGAAGGACCAGAUCCUAAAGAACUUAGUAAUACCUGAAGGAGUCAGCUUUUAACUCCAAGAUGAAUGGGACGUUACUGAAGAAGUUUGAGCAAGGGAGUGAUAGGACCAGACUUGGCCAUUAGAAAAAUUACUUGGGCAGCUUUGUGGAGAGAGGUAGAUUCAAAAGCAGGGAGAAAAGCAAGGAAUUUAAUACAAUCAGCCAGAUGUAGUGCAGUGACGGUAGGUAUGGAAAAGCGGGGAAGAGUAAGAGAGCUUUUAGGAUAAAAUGAACCCACUGGAAGAAUCCCUGGACCAACAGAUGGUUAAGCACUCAACUACUAGCCGAAAGGAUGGCAGCCUGAACCCACCCAGAGGCAUCUCUGGAGAUAGGCUUCCGAAAGGUUACAGCCUUGAAAACCCUAUGGAAGAAUUCUGCUCUGUACACAUGGGGUCGCCAUGAGUCAGAAUCGACAAUAACAACAACCCACUGGAUAUAGGGAAAAAUGAAGCAAACAGAAUGCCUUCUGAGUUUCUGUUUUGGUAGCUGGGUGCGUGGUGGUGCCAUAAGCCUUGAUGUAUAAAUAAACGUAUUCCCAUGUCUUUGCUUUUGAGAGUGCACAAGUGGGAGUGUGGGAUGCAUUGUGUAUUUUCCCAGUCAUGCUGGAUGAGGACAACUGUAGUAGAGGUAAUAACUCCCAGAGAGUAUCCCAGCUGCUCAAAUCAGGGUGGGGUCUACACCAGGGUUUGUAACCAGAUUACACUCAUAGAUCCAACUGUCUCUAAGGAGAAUUGUAGGGUGCUGGUCUGAUACAGGAGCCCUGGUGGCGCAGUGGUUAAGCGCUCAGCUGUAAACCAAAAGGUCGGUAGUUCGAAUCCACCAGGUACUCCUUGGAAACCCUAUGGGGCAGUUCUAUUCUGUCCUAUAGGAUCUCUAUAAGUUGGAAUUGGCUCAGUGGCAACGGGUUUGGGUUGGUAUGGUCUUUGGUCUGAUAGAAUUCAGAUGCAGCCCACAGAAUGGUCCUCUCUCUACUCUCCUCUGGCUGCUUUUGCUAAUGGAACAUACUAUAAGCUUCAAAGCCACUGUCAGCCCUGAAAGGAAAAUAUUGCCUCUCUUUUGCUUUUGUAAAAAGACUGGCAGAAGAAUUCACAGUAUGCAAAUACUGCAGGCCUUCUAGCAGUGAGGGGACAUGAGGGGGCAAUGCAGAGCCCUGUGUCCGUUGGUGACCCUGCCAGGCCUCACAAAGAGCAUACACCAAGCCGCCGGGAGUUGGCGGGGACAACGAGAAUUGAAAGAAGCCUUGUCAUUGUUGUGGCCGUGGGAACAUAUGCCAGACCCAUUGUUCUAGCCCCUGUGAAAGGGCUCCCAGCACUGCUCCCCUGGAUGCGUCCUGUGUUAAAUUGGUGACAGUAGUAGCUGCAGGUCCAGCCUGCAAGUGACCAGCAGAAGGUGGCUGUCCAGAGACAGCAGUGUGGGCAAUUACGGCCUUGCAGGGCACCGUCUCCUUUGGCAGAGAGGAAAACGGAACAUACGAUUUAAUCAAGAUUAGUUCUUUCUUUCUGAAAUGCCUUGAGAUUAUGAUAAUACGAGUGUAAAUGGAAGUGGCGGUGUUGUUCUCAUGCACGAUCCAGGAAGCCUUUGAAAACUGCAGCCUGAAUGAGCUGCUUCUCAGCUGCAUGAGUCAGGAGAAGCUUCCAGUGUGAUGCCUGACCCACGGACUUGGGAUUUGCCAGCCUCUACAACUCUGAAGCAAGGAAGGAAGGAAGGAAGGAAGGACGGACACACACUUUGGAACCAGGCAGAACUGGGUUCAAAUCCUCACUGCAGCAUAUACUGACUGUGGGAUCAGAAUGUAAGAAUACCUUCUUUGUUGGAUUGUUAUUAAACAUUAGCAAUAAUGUGAGGAAAAUACUUAACAUAGUGCUAGGCACAUAGCAAGUAUGUGAUGAAUGGUAACGAUUUAUUAUUACUAUUUUGUAGCCAGAAAUUUUAUUAAGGCUAAAAAUCUCUGAGUAACAAAGCACCCACGAGUUUCAAACAGCCAUCUGUUUUAAGCAACAUUCGUACUAUAAAAUUUAGCUCAGUAAAAUGAUUGGAAUCCCCUCUUAAAACUCAACAUAAUGAGAUUUUGCCUGCACCAGAGAAAAGUCAUUAAUGACCUAAUUGUCAAAUGGAAUGGCCUGUUUUCAGUCAUCUUCUUAUUUAUCCUCUCUGUGGCAUGAGAUGUACUGACUCUUGUUGUCUUCAUUCAUUCAUUUUGAGUCCUCGACAGUGCUCUCUCCUGGUUCUUUUAGACUCCUUUCCUGUUGUUGGGAUUUUGAAGGGGCCUUUUCUUCACUUCCUGAUCUCAUCUUUUGUGAAGACUUCCCUUAAAUUCUCCAGGCAAAGUCAACACAGUUCACCCAAACUUAUUCAGUACUCAGUAUAUCCUAUCAAGAGAAGGAAUGUUAUCACUCAGAGAGAAGACAGAGAGUGAAGAGUGAACUGAAGACAAAUCUCCUGAUUUUAAGUUAACAACUUAAAAGAAAACACCAAGAGGCAAAGAGAGGCAAUGGCAUCAAGGACCUGAGGGGACAGAUUGGUCUUGAAUAGAAGAGGCACCUUCAUCCAUUCAGUCUAGACAGGGCCAGAUAGGAUAGGGCGAGUAGAGACUGUUUAGCAGGUAUUGGGGUCAAAAGUUCGAGGAAAUUCAUCUUAACAUUUUCUUGGUGAAGAAGGAGGCAUUGUUUUCUGCUAUACAUUAAGCAGGAGUCAACAAACUUUUUCUGUAAAGGCCAGAGAGCCAGUACUUUAGGCUUUGGGGGCAAUAUGGUUCCUGUCACAACUACUCAAGCAGUCAUAGACAUUACUCUAAGUGAAUGAACACAGCUGUGUUUCUAUAAAACUUUAUUUAUAAAUAGGCCACAUUUGGCCUGCGAGCCAUAGUUUGCUGACCCUUGCAUCGAGUCUUUCAAUUGCAUCAAAUUGAAUUGCAUUGAAUUGGGUUGAGGUUGGGCUGAAGGUUCGAAGGGAAUAUCGGACUAGUCUUUGUGGGGAAAGGGGAUGGGUGAGUGCUGCUUAGAGAACAAGAAAGAAGACACAAGUGCAGCUAGGGGUUCACUAGUGUGAACUGAUGUUUUGGCUGUGGCUCCGCUUGCAUUGCUUUGUGGGUCUCUCACAAUUUUGAGUUGCUCCUUCUUCUGAGAUUCCAGAGCAUUGCCUGCAUUUCUGGCUGAACACAGAAGUCUCUCCCAUAAAAUUGUGGACGAUUUUAGGGCAAAGCCUUUGCUUUAUUUAUUUGGUAAAAGCCUGACUCCCCUCAGUUUUCAGCUGAAGAUCAUGUUCUUUAGCAAUAGACAUAUGCCUCUCUGUCACUGUAACAAAACAAGGGCCUUCUCCUGGACCUGGGCCACAAUUGCCAGGCCUGUCUCACUUCAUGCUGAAUCCACCCAGGCCUGUUUCUUCCUGUGAGGACUGGUGACUAAUGUAGUGGCUGUUAGCAGGUCAGAGAAGCUGAAGUCAUGCAGCAAUUAUGGCACCACACACACGCACUGUUUUAUCUGUUCUCCCCACCCCACCCCCAUCUUCCUGUCUUUGGAACAAAAAAAUUCUCUGACUUCACAUGGCCAACACAGCUGUCCAACUGGCCGAAAACACAGACGUGAAUGAAGUCAGUGAAAGGAUGAGUCACUGCACAACAGUGUCAUUUAGAUGCACCUCCCCCCUUCCCAACUCCUCCGGAUUUGGGGUUUACUGCUUGGGAAGUAGCACUUUGCCACAUCUACAAAGGCAAUGUGAAGGAAGAGCCUUUUGGGGGGAGUAGUAGCUCACUUGGCAAAUUGGUUGUUUAUUCCUGGUCCACCUAGUUAAGUAAUAUUAUUUGGAUCUAAUGAGGAGAUAGUAGGGUUUAAGGCGCACAGAAAGAUUACAGCCUAGGAAACCCUAUGGGGCAGUUCUACUCUGCCAUAUAGUGUUGAUGUAAGUGGGAAUUGACUUGACCACACACAACAGCAGAGACAGAGAACUCAGUGACUUGGUGGUGUUUUGCAUACUUUCUAGAAAAGAGACGCAAGCAUGCAAUUCAAGGCCCAAAUCCAUACAAUUUAGUUAUCGCCUAAUAAUAUUUCCUGGGCCAUGAAUCAUGAUGUAGAGUGAACGUAUUACUGGAAAAACUAGUAGGAACCAAGACGAAUGUUAUUCCUUGGCACUAUUGUUCAUGCCAAUUCAUGAAAAAUCAUGAAAGUGCCAAUAGCAGGGCCAAUGGCACUCCUGAGAAUCUAACUUGAGGCUAGUAGUUUUUAUGUCUUUAAUUGGAUCAGUGUAGGCAUGGAUCAGGUCCCUGAGUGGCAGGAAUUGUUUGUGCUUGACUGCUAACUGAAAGGUUGGUGAUUCGAACCUGCCUAGCAGCACUGUGGGAGAAAAGACCUGGUAAUCUGCUCCCGUUAAUGAUUACAGCCUAGUUAAGCCUAUGUGGCAGUUCUACUGUCUUAUAGGGUCACUAUGAGUUGGAAUUGACUCAACGGCACACAACAACAACAACUAACCAAAAGUUUGGUGGUUCAAAUCCACCUAGCAGCACUGCAGAAGAAAAGCCUGGCAAUUUGUUUCUAUAAAGAUUACAGCCAAGGAAACCCUAUGGGGCAGUUCUACUCUGUAACACAUGGGAUCAUUGUGUCGGAACCGACUUGACAGGAAUAGGUUUGGUUUUUUUUUCUUUUUUGGCAUGGAUUAAGAAUCUAUGAAACCAGAUCAGUGAUAAUAAUAUUAUCAGUGACAUUAUGCACAAUUUAUUUACUAGCCGAGAUCUCUGCCUUUUGUGAUGAAUUCCUUUGCUUUGUGUCUUGAGGAUGAUACCAUGCAGAAUAUGGAAAGAUCAGAUUGGUUGAAAUUUGUCCUACUUCUCACAUUGCUCUUGUUUUCUGCUCUUUUACGUCUGUGGUCAAGCCUUGUAUCUCUCUCUUUCAAAGUUCUCUUUCCUCUGCAUUGGAACCUGCCUCCUGGGGGAUGAACUUGGAUUUUCAGAGUGAGGAGAAGAGAGAGAGACAACACUGAAGCUGAAGGAGCAGCUGCUGUCCACAUCACUGCCAAGGCCUGGCAGCGGGUUCCUGGGGAAGCAGUAGACACCUGGUUCACACAGGACCAGCACAGCCGGGUCCAGCUUUUGAUGGGCAGAGCAUUGCUUCCUUCGUCACCAAAGUGACUGGCCCUGUGAUCUUGCUACAGCCUGCUGAAACCAAGAGGGACAUCCUGCAGCCGGGAUGCCUCAGAGGAGCAGGUGCAAGUCAUAUUUCACUAAUGAACAAUGGGCAUUUUGCACACACAGAGGCUUUGAUCUGAGAGCUGAAAAGCCCCUCUGUUGGGCAGGAUGUUGGCGGAGGCAGAUAGUAGUAAGAAGCAUUGGGAAGGAUUCUUUUCCAAGAAAGUCUGUGGAAAAGGUAUCAUCAAAUAAUUGCAGAGUCAAACCCUCCCAUUCUCAAGAACUUCUUGGGAGAAAGCGAUGUAUUUGCGGGAACAAAAUAUUCAUCAAACCGUAGACCCUCAUACUGGCAGGUGUAGCCCAAACCUCCAUCUCUACCCUUAACCCCUACCACAUCAGUGCUACCUGUUUGCCGAGCCUGUGCUUAAAUAUUUCUGAUAAACAUAAAGACCAGUUGCCAUUGAGUUGAGUCUGACUCAUGGUGACCCCACGAGUGUCAGAAUAGAACCGUGCUCCAUAGGGUGUCCAAUGACUGAUGUUUCAGAAGUAGACAGCCAGACCUUUCUUCUGAGGUGCCUCUGGGUGGACUCCAACCUCCAAUCUUUCAGUUAGCACCAAGUGCGUUAACACUUUGCACCACCCAGGGACUCCUCUGGUAAACAUAAAAAAAAAAAAAACAAAAAAAACUUGUAAACAUAGAAUCCAGUAAUUCUUUUGGUUCAUUAAUCAACUGAUUCCACCUUUGGAUUGUUCCCAAAAUGAAAAUAAAAUCUUCUGUAUUAAAUUUAAAUAUGUCUUCUACCCACUGAUUUCAGUUUUGCCCUUUGGGAUUAUGUUAUAGACUGAAUUAUGUCUCCCCUAAAGAUAUGUUGUAGUCUUUAAUCCCUGUCCCUGUGAAUGUGAUUGCCUUUGGAAAUAGGUCUUUUUCUCUGAAGAUGUUAUCAGUUAAGUUAAAGAGGUCAUGCCAGAGUAGGGUAGGUCCUAGUUGCUUCCCAGUGGUGUCCUAUAAAAGGGGAGGACAGACAUGGAGACAGAGUGACACAGGGAGAAGAAAAAUGCCAUGUGAAGCUACAUCUGAAAGUUAAGAAAUGACCAGGGCUACCAGCAACUGGAAGGGACAAGGAAGGAUCUUCCCCAAGAGUGGACAGAGAGAGCAUGACCCUGUCAAUGCCCUGAAUGUGGGCUUCUAGCCUCAAGAACUGUGAGUCAAUAACUUUCUGUUCUUUGAAGCCACCCAUGUUGCCGUACUUGGUUAUGGCAGCCCGAGGAACUAAGACAGGGCUAGACAGGACAAUUCUACUUGAGGAGGAGUGCGUCCAUGGGAGAUGCUUCCAAGUAUUUGAAGACCACUUUCAUGUCUUCCAGGAAAUAUUAAUAGGACAUCUUUGUAAUAAGUUGCCGUCUUCAUGUACUAAAUGGUACCUUGUCCUCACAGUGAACUCAAAGGCUCUGUGCCAACCUAUUGUCUCUCUCCCUAAAGAAUUAUCAGAAUCACAGGCUUUUUGUGAUGGAAAAGACCUUAGAGACGUCUUAUCUAAGCCCUCAGUUCACAGAUAAGGCAACGGAGGCUCAUGGAGGCCAAGCUACACAGGUAGUUCAAAGCUGCGGCAAGAGUCUCUGACCACCAGUCUGGUGCUGUGCUCCUGUAUCAUAUUGCAGGAGUCACUGGGAUUCUGCACUAGGCAAGGUGCAAAUUCUCCAUCCUAUCCUUGAAGAGCCCAAGACUUCCCUCAUCUCCCCUCC